rnacentral:rRNA from 1 species
ACUCUACGGGAGGCAGCAGUGAGGAAUAUUGGUCAAUGGGCGCAAGCCUGAACCAGCCAUCCCGCGUGCAGGAAGACGGCCCUAUGGGUUGUAAACUGCUUUUCCAGGGGGAGAAACUUGCGCACGUGUUGCGCAAUUGACGGUACCCUGGGAAUAAGCAUCGGCUAACUCCGUGCAGCAGCCGCGGUAAUACGGAGGAUGCGAGCGUUAUCCGGAUUCAUUGGGUUUAAAGGGUGCGUAGGCGGACUAUUAAGUCAGUGGUGAAAUCCUGCAGCUUAACUGCAGAACUGCCAUUGAUACUGAUAGCCUUGAGUUUGGUUAAGGUAGGCGGAAUGUGUAAUGUAGCGGUGAAAUGCUUAGAUAUUACACAGAACACCAAUUGCGUAGGCAGCUUACUGAGCCGACACUGACGCUGAGGCACGAAAGCGUGGGGAUCGAACAGGAUUAGAUACCCUGGUAGUCCACGCCGUAAACGAUGAUUACUCGCUGUUGGCGAUACACUGUCAGCGGCUAAGCAAAAGCAAUAAGUAAUCCACCUGGGGAGUACGGCCGCAAGGUUGAAACUCAAAGGAAUUGACGG